AAGACAGAUGUGGGGAAAGAGAAAGGAAUGAAUAAAUAUCAUCAUUACAUUUCUCUCAUCUUUCAAUUGCUUCUAAAAUAAAUAAAUAUUAACCAAACUCUUCUACUCUAUCCCUUCUUCUUCUUCUUCUUCUUCUUCAAUUCAUUUCAUUUAUUUUCAUUUCUCUCCUCUCCUCCAUGGCCUCUUUCUUUUUGACAUAAGAGAGAGGGGUUUUCAAGAAGGAAGAAGAGGACGAAGAUGAAGAUGUUGCAGCAAUAUAUAGAUAUGUCUGAUUUUGUUGAUGAAGAGUAGCAGCAUAGCUUAAAUUUUCAUGGGGGGGUUUGUCAAAGGGUUUCCAACAGAAUUUAUUGGCAUUCUGUCCACCUCCUCCACAUAUUAAUUUAUAUUUAUAUAUACAUAUAUAUAUAUAUACUUUAAUUUGUGUGUGUUUAUUGUUAUAAUUAAUGGUUUGGAGGUGGGCAUACUGCCAAUUGAGUUCUCUUUGGAUCCUAUUUGUAACACUCCUUCUUGAAUAAUAUCUCUCUAUUCUAUCUUUCUUUUUCCUUUCCCCCUUUAUUUCCUUCUUAGUUCCAUCCCCAUGCCCUCUCUCAAGGUUAAAACCAUCUGGAAAAUUGGUAGCAGGAAGAGGGAGAAUACGAUGGAUCAUCAAUAUCUAAAAAUGGAUUCAGGAGGCAAUAUAUGCAAAUCAAGAAGAUGACUUAUUUCGUUGUUGGUUUAUUUUGUUUUUAGUUUAGUUAUAUUUUAUAUUACUUUACAUGUCUAUACAGACUCUUAAUUUGCAAGUACCAUCCAUUUUAUCUUCAAUCCAAUUGUAAAUCAUAAAUCAAAUUCACAUCUUUCUACGGUAGUGAUUUGAUUGGCGAUUUCUAACAUGUGUCCAUAUAAUUCCAUGCAAAUGUAUAGACUAAUUGAUAUCAAGCUAGGAGUAAACUUCAAGAUGGAUAUAAUUUAGUAUGUUAGAGCUGAUAGGUGCCUUGAUAAUCCUUUAAAAUUAGCUACUUAUCCCAUGUUUCUCAUAAGAGAUCUAUAUCGGCGAACAUCUUCAUACCUCCAUUUGUGGAGGUAAGUCGAACUCUCAUCAUGCAAACAUACAACGCAAAUACAAAGGGAGAUUUGUUAAGGGCUUUGAGAGUUCACCCAAGCCAACUGUUAUCUUCAUUUGCCUAUUCACAAACUGGAAAGGUUUCAAAUUUUUUAAAUAUAAUUUUGAACAUUUUGCCUAUGCUA